rnacentral:rRNA from 1 species
GAUGAACGCUGGCGGCGUGCUUAACACAUGCAAGUCGAACGGAAAGGCCCAAGCUUGCUUGGGUGCUCGAGUGGCAAACGGGUGAGUAACACGUGGGUGAUCUGCCCUUCACUUCGGGAUAAGCCUGGGAAACUGGGUCUAAUACCGGAUAGGACCACAUUUUGGAUGGUGUGGUGGAAAGUGUUUCGGUGUGGGGUGAGCUCGCGGCCUCUCAUCUGGUUGUUGGGGUGAUGGUCUAUAAAGGGGGCGAGGGGGGGACGGCGUGUGAGGGGGUACGGCGACAUUGGGGGUCUGAGACGGGGCAGACUCCCACGGGGGGGAGAAGAGGGGAGUAUAGUACAAUAGGGGCGAGACUGAGGCAGCGACGCGGCGUGGGGGAUGACGGCCUUCGGGUUGUAAACACCUUUCGCUAGGGACGCGGCGUUUUUGUGACGGUACCUGGAGAAGAAGCACCGGCUAACUACGUG